UCCGCCACACUGGGACUGAGACACGGCCCAGACUCCUACGGGAGGCAGCAGUGGGGAAUAUUGGACAAUGGGCGGAAGCCUGAUCCAGCCAUGCCGCGUGUGUGAAGAAGGCCUUAUGGUUGUAAAGCACUUUAAGCGAGGAGGAGGCUACCUAGAUUAAUACUCUAGGAUAGUGGACGUUACUCGCAGAAUAAGCACCGGCUAACUCUGUGCCAGCAGCCGCGGUAAUACAGAGGGUGCGAGCGUUAAUCGGAUUUACUGGGCGUAAAGCGUGCGUAGGCGGCUUUUUAAGUCGGAUGUGAAAUCCCCGAGCUUAACUUGGGAAUUGCAUUCGAUACUGGGAAGCUAGAGUAUGGGAGAGGAUGGUAGAAUUCCAGGUGUAGCGGUGAAAUGCGUAGAGAUCUGGAGGAAUACCGAUGGCGAAGGCAGCCAUCUGGCCUAAUACUGACGCUGAGGUACGAAAGCAUGGGGAGCAAACAGGAUUAGAUACCCUGGUAGUCCAUGCCGUAAACGAUGUCUACUAGCCGUUGGGGCCUUUGAGGCUUUAGUGGCGCAGCUAACGCGAUAAGUAGACCGCCUGGGGAGUACGGUCGCAAGACUAAAACUCAAAUGAAUUGACGGGGGCCCGCACAAGCGGUGGAGCAUGUGGUUUAAUUCGAUGCAACGCGAAGAACCUUACCUGGCCUUGACAUACUAGAAACUUUCCAGAGAUGGAUUGGUGCCUUCGGGAAUCUAGAUACAGGUGCU
rnacentral:rRNA from 1 species